rnacentral:lncRNA from 1 species
CUCCAAGAAGUGACUAACAGGAAGUGUCAGAGAAGAGCAUGAAAGAGCAGGAUUUGGGAGACGAGAAAGAGCAGGGCUUUGGGCUUGCCACAAGGUAACCUGGCCCCUGAAGUCAGAGUCACGGGAAGACUGACCUCCACUCCAUCUGAGGAAGAACUUCCCAGGAGAAAUGCCCAGAUUCAGAAUGGGCUGGCAAGAAAAAGGGGCCAUUAACUCCCCUGCUGGUCCCUAUCCAUGGAGCCCAUUGACAGAUGAGUUUGAUUCUGGACCUAAGAAGGACAGUUAACAGACACAGAUAUCUUUUAAGAAUCUUCCCUUCAGAGAAUACUAGAAAGUGUUCAGUAUGUUAAGCCCUUAGAAAUAAAUUCUGGCCGGGCGCGGUGGCUCACGCCUGUAAUCCCAGCACUUGGGGAGGCUGAGGUGGGUGGAUCACAAGGUCAGGAGAUCAAGACCAUCCUGGCCAACACGGUGAAACCCCAUCUCUACUGGGCGCCUGUAGUCCCAGCUACUCGGGAGGCUGAGGCAGGAGAAUGGCGUGAACCCGGGAGGGAACCCGGGAGGCGGAGCUUGCAACGAGCCGAGAUCGAGCUUGCAAUGAGCCAAGAUCGCGCCACUGCACUCCAGCCUGGGAUACAGAGCGAGACUCCGUCUCCAAAAAAAAUAAAAAUAAAAUUUAAAAGAAAAAAAAAAUUCUACAGAAAUUCACUAGAAUCUCUCCUUCCUUCCUUUCUUCCAACUUUUCCUCCUUUCUUCUUUCCUCCGUUCCUCUUUCCUUCCUUUUCCCUCGCCUUAUUCCUAAAUGGAUUUGAAAUAACAAACGCCUCCGUGUUCUUGCGGUCCUGCACUUUAAUAACACGGAAUUGCACACUGCUUCAUAUGAGUGGGCCAGUGUCUGGAGUCCAAAAUCUUUUCUGUUCUAAGAAAUCUAGGCCAAAGCUGAACCUUCAGUAAUGAGAUCUAACCUAUAAUCAAAUUAAAUAGCACAGCAUUAGAUCAAUUUCAG